rnacentral:rRNA from 1 species
UGUGAUGCCCUUAGAUGUUCUGGGCCGCACGCGUGCUACACUGAUGCAUACAGCGAGCACUUCCCGGCCCCGAAAGGCGGCUGGUAAUCAGCAAUAUGCAUCGUGAUGGGGAUAGUUCUUUGGAAUUCUUGAACUUGAACGAGGAAUGCCUAGUAGGCGCACGUCAUUACCGUGCGUCGAUUAAGUCCCUGCCCUUUGUACACACCGCCCGUCGCUCCUACCGAUUCGAGUGAUCCGGUGAACACUUUGGACCGAGGCAGCUUGCUGUUUUGGAAAAUUGAGUAAACCACGUCACUUAGAGGAAGGAGAAGUCGUAACAAGGUUUUC